AUGAACAAGGUUAAAAAGGUAACAUGUAGUUUGUCCCAAGGUGUCUGCCUCCUCACCCAGAGCAAGACCUCCUCACCCAGAGCCAGACCUCCACCUCCUGUCAGAAGUCCUCCAGAACAGCUGAAAGGUGAGGCUGAGAGGCUGGGGACCGGAGGCUUGUGGUGCCAGGAGGGACCAGAGACUGAGGCUGGAGACCAGGGGCCUGCAGCACCGGACCAGAGGACCAGGAAUCUAUUUCUGGGGGAGCCGUGCUGAAGGAGCUGCUGGAGGAGUCGUGCUGAGGGCCUGCCUGCUGGUGGAGAAGUCGUGCUGAGGGCCUGCCUGCUGGAGGAGCUGGUGGAGGAGUCGUGCUGAGGGCCUGCCUGGUGGAGGAGCUGGUGGAGGCCCUGCCUGGUGAAGGACGUCUGUCGUGGGGUAGAUGGAGCUUGAAGCUCUGAAGUGAUCAUCACACUCACUGUCACUUCUCGUAGAAUACUGCUACCACAAACUACUGGCGUUUGUGCCAUUAUAUACCAGACGACUACAUCUGUUUUACCACAUGUUGAAGCAAAACUUCCGCUGUUUGUUCCAGACCAGGAAUCUGUCUGAGGAGAGCUGCUGGAUUCCUCGUAAGUUUGUAUUUACUUACAUGGUUGACUUAGAGGGGAAAAUACAGCUGUUCCUUGGACAUGCGUUAACCAACUACCGCUGUGUUUUCUUACUAGAACGUGUUUCUGGAGCGGAGGCGAGCUGGUAGGGGAGCCAUGAAUCUGGAGGAUGACCAUCACUCUACCAACAAGGAUUGUAAGUCUGUAUUAACCUAACAAAGUGGAAAUAAAGGGCUUAAAAAUAAGACAAACUACAUGUUUUUUUACCAGACGUUGGGGCCAGACUCGCGCUGUUUGUUCCAGACCAGGACUCGGGCUGUGGUGAGCUGAUGGAGGAGCCAAGACUCUGGAGGACGACAUCACUCCACCAACCAGGAUCCUCGUGAGUUUGCAUAAAAUAAACAGAGUGGACUUGUUGUAACGCAAGAUUAGUUUGACCAGUACAAGUUACGGCACACUACUGUGGUUGUUUACCAGACAAACUAUAGCUGCUACUUUGUUACACGCCAUUAGAGCCCAACUACAACCGUUUGUUACCUGAUAUUAGAGACAAACUACUACUGUGUUUGUUACCUUUCAUUAGAGACAAACUACUACUGUUUGUUACCUUACAUUAGAGACAAAUUACGUUUGUAACCAGACCAGGAAUCUGGAGGACUGAUGGAGAAGCCGUACAUCUGGAAGGCAAAUCCUGAGGACGACCAGGUCUCUACCAUCAAGGAUUCCUCGUCAGUUUGCAUUAUCUGGACAUAGUGGACUAGGUAGGGGGUUGGGGGUUCAACUCUCAAACCAAUGUUGCCGGGUUCAAGUCCUCAGAAUACAGUGAUGCAUCCUUGAGCAAGGCGCCCUAAAGCCUGCCUGCUCCUUAAUGACUAAUCUUUGGUUCAGAUAAUGUUGCAUCUUUUGAAUAUUGAACCUAAUCAAUGUCCUUGUUUGGUCCGGGCAGACACGCCUGAGCUGAACCUCACCUGAUCCUGUUUGGUCGGGGGUAGACACACCUGAGCUGAACCCGCCCUGAUCCUGACAUCCUGCUGGUCCCGUCUCCUCAGUUCAUCUGCGCCUCGUCCUCCAGAAGACCUGCUGAGCUCAGCAGUCUGAGGCUGAUGGAUCAAUGACCUCCAGUGGGAGUGAUCUUCUUGACCCCACAUGUAACCGUGUGCUUCCACACGCCUUUCCCUCACGUCUGUCACUAACCUCACUGCUUCACUACUCUCUACUGCUUCCUCUUCUUCCUUCUCUGUUGUUCGAACCUUUACACUGGAGGCGCGUCUUCCUGCCCUCAGAGGGUUCAGCGUUAGGG
rnacentral:lncRNA from 1 species